GAUGAACGCUGGCGGCGUGCCUAAUACAUGCAAGUCGAGCGGACAGAUGAGGAGCUUGCUCCUCUGACGUUAGCGGCGGACGGGUGAGUAACACGUGGAUAACCUACCUAUAAGACUGGGAUAACUUCGGGAAACCGGAGCUAAUACCGGAUAAUAUAUUGAACCGCAUGGUUCAAUAGUGAAAGACGGUUUUGCUGUCACUUAUAGAUGGAUCCGCGCCGCAUUAGCUAGUUGGUAAGGUAACGGCUUACCAAGGCAACGAUGCGUAGCCGACCUGAGAGGGUGAUCGGCCACACUGGAACUGAGACACGGUCCAGACCCCUACGGGAGGCAGCAGUAGGGAAUCUUCCGCAAUGGGCGAAAGCCUGACGGAGCAACGCCGCGUGAGUGAUGAAGGUCUUCGGAUCGUAAAACUCUGUUAUUAGGGAAGAACAAAUGUGUAAGUAACUAUGCACGUCUUGACGGUACCUAAUCAGAAAGCCACGGCUAACUACGUG
rnacentral:rRNA from 1 species